GGUCACUCUUCCACUAUGAUGUGACGUGGCUUUCCUCUUUGGCCGGAAGAGACGUCACUGCGCUUACCUGCUGUUGGAGAGCUGAAGUAUUGCUCGAACCGGGAGUUAAAAAGCAAUUUAACAGAAAAUAAUGGUGACAGACGUGCAGCUGGCCAUAUUUGCCAAUAUGCUUGGCGUCUCCUUGUUCCUGCUAGUGGUGUUAUACCACUACGUUGCUGUGAAUAACCCCAAGAAGCAGGAGUAGAGUUGUACAGUGUGACUGCAGAGAUGAGAUGGACAUCAAAACCACCACCUUGAACACAUCAUUCCCCUCAUCCUCUCCUCUUUCCAAGAGAUGGAAUUUCUGUUUGCACAAGGAUCUUUUUUUCUUUUUCUAAUAAACAUGUUUGAAUUUGAA